GACGAACGCUGGCGGCGUGCUUAACACAUGCAAGUCGAACGGGCCCGCUCUCUUUUUUGGGGGUGGGUUGAGUGGCGAACGGGUGAGUAUCACGUGAGUAACCUGCCCCCUGCUCCUGGAUAACUGCUUGAAAGGGCGGCUAAUACGGGGUGUGCCGGCUGGUCCGCAUGGGCCUGGUCGGGAUAGUUUCAUCUUCGGGUGUUUCGGUGGGGGAUGGGCUCGCGGCCUAUCAGCUUGUUGGUGGGGUGAUGGCCCACCAAGGCGGUGACGGGUAGCCGGCCUGAGAGGGUGGGCGGCCACACGGGGACUGAGACACGGCCCAGACUCCGGCGGGAGGCAGCAGUGGGGGGUAUUGCACAAUGGGCGGAAGCCUGAUGCAGCGACGUCGCGUGAGGGAUGGAGGCCUUCGGGUGGGGAACCUCUUUCUCCGGUGGUGAAGGCCCUGUCCGUUGCGGCGGGGUUGACGGUAGCCGGGUAUGAAGCGCCGGCUAACUACGUG
rnacentral:rRNA from 1 species